UACAAUCUUCAGGGCGAGGUGAAAGUCCUCACUGGCGGUAACGCAAAGGUAAAACGUAUAUGUAAGGCGACUAUCAAUGCGAAGCCCGCGACCCCGAUUGUUUUUUUUGAUUGUUGCAGUGCUUGUUAGUGAUGCAAAUAAAAGAUUGGCAAUUGGGCUGAUUCGGUGAAAAUCCGAGGCCAACGGUUACAGUCCGGAUGGAAGAAGAUGAUG
rnacentral:ncRNA from 2 species